UACUUUUUGAAUGUUCCAUGGUGUUGUGAAGUUUUUAUCCCAUUAACUGGUGUGUGGUGACCUGAUUCCUUAUUGCAAGGGUUGUUGGUCGCCUUGAGCUGAACAGUGAGAGCAGCAAAUACUCGCAACAAAGAAACUGUAAGAGUAAUUAAUUAUGUUCGCGCAACAAGGUCAUUCGGUAAUUAGAGAGGGUGACAGGUUAUGGAAAAAAAAAUUGAGUAGAGAACUAACAUAUAACAGAAAGAAAUAGAUGAGAAAAAAAAAUAGAUAAGUAGUAGAGGUUUGAAUGUUGAGAGAAACAGGUGGUAAAACAACGGAAGGGAAGAGUAGGAAUAAAAGGUGCUAGGGAAUGAGGUGCUUCAGACGAGGAAGUGAAGCAAGUGAUUUCGACCUCUCAUUGAUUUAACUUUGUCUUAUAGGCCAUCAGAUUAUGCACACACAUAUAUCUAUCACCAAAUAUUCUCCAAUACUUACAGUACACGGCUCUUCUAUUUAGAGACAUGUAUUUCAUUAUGAUCUAAACAACAUGAAACGUAUCGAAUCUGUGUUCGAAAUGAACACCAGAAAUAGUAGGCUUGAUAGUAGGCAGUCUGCAGGCUAGCUUGAGUGUGGGUAGACGUUCGUGGAGGUGGCGGUGGCGGUGGAACGCUGCCCAAAGGACGAAAUCUUCUAGAAAGCAGCCGAGGAUUGAAGGAUGGUGCUGGCAAGGGUUUAUCAUCAAAAACCAGUGUUCACAAAUUAAGGCAACUCAGACCCAAAAUAUAUCCCAUGAUUUGUGGAUCAUGGUGUGGGACAGGACCUGGACUUCAGAAAUAGGAUGGUUUUAGGUCUAAUGAGAUUUCUAGGGAGACAUGACUGCCACAAUGAACUGUGUACUGUGUGCAGUGUUGGCUGAAAAGAGGUCAUGAAAAUUAUGAUAAUUCCACCCCAGUGAAACAAACUGCCCAGGACGAAGAUGUAUUUUAUCAAAAAGAACUUUGCUUUUAAUAAGGCAUCACCUGAGUACUUCACCAUUCAUCACAGCAAGAGAAAUAAAGCAAAAAAACCCUACUUUGUGUGACAUGACACACAAUAAAACAGUGCGCUACUUUCAUUAGAGGAGGAUGUACACAACUAUGCUUUAGCAUACUCUGUUCUGUUCUCUAACAAGCUGUGACAGUUCUAACACAUCUCACCUUCCUCUAUCUGCCUGUUGUGACUCUCUGUGAAGUAGUAUAUUACAUAAGGAAGAAAUAUGUAAUGAAUUAAAAAAGAAAGAAAAGAAGAAAGAACAAAGAAAAGAGAAGAAAGGAAGAAAGAAGAGAGCAGAAUAAAUAAGAGGAACAGAGAAAUCAAGCAGAGAACAAUGAGCCAGCCCUCACCAGAAAGAAAAUUCACACCAGAUGUCUAGGACAAGGGGACCAGGGAGCAGAAACAACAGACAAGACAAACAUGAGUGGGUCACUAUAACAGGAAAGAGAACUAUAGUAUCUCAAAUUGUGUCAUGAUUAAUAUAGAUAAGUACAGUCAUCAUAUUUAUUCUUUCUAAAUCUGGAUUGCAUGCAGGUGUUGUUUUCACAGUGAUGUGGACUUAUUUAAUUCUUCAUGUCCUGCAUAUUCUGAGUUCUUGCUCUGAGUGAAAACUUUCUUGAAAUACUUUUGAGAGUAGACCAGUAAGAUUAAUGAGUUAUAUGCUGUCGCAAUGGUCACCAAUCACUUGUUUCACCAGCAGCAUAUAAGAUAGAGAAGGUGGAAAAAUACUGAGAAUAUAGGAAUGUAUGACAUACGAUAGGAGUUAUGGAAGGUUUAGCAAUUAAUGAGGCUUAUUUAUAAUAAAAGUGCAAGUGUUCUGUAAGAAAUGUUUGAAUUGGUAGGAAAUUGGUUAUUUAACAUUGUUAGAUGUGUGGUAACUAUGGAAGAAAUAGCAAUUACAUUCUUAUAUAUCAUAAAUAUAGCCUGAUUGACUAGUUGUGAGAAAACUAUUUAGAGUGAGAAUAUUAUGUUGUAUGUUGAGUUGAAGUGGAUUAGUUGAGUAAAAUUAUUUAAGGAAAGUCUUAUGAAUUCAUAUUGGUAUUAAUGAGGAAGUUUUGCAUCACGCUUGAGGUAAUGAGGAAAAUUAUGGAGAAAUAUGUAUUAACUUCAAGUAAAUAGAUGUUUCUGUAUAAAAAUGUGAGAUAAAGUAGAAUAGCCAAGGAGCAUAUAAAGCAUAUAGUUCAGGAUAUAUGGUAGAAGUUAGAAAGGGAAGGAAGUAAUAUGAUCUUAUCCACUAUGUGAACUAUCAGUGAUAAAGUAAGAUUGAGCCAUGGCAGGGAACACUGGGUCUUCUUGUAUUUGAGAAUUGGUAAGCUUGUAUAGAUGAUAGGAUAGUAAAGUUCGGGAUAAGAAGGAUUUUGUUGGAUCUUGGGAAUCUUGACUGUCAGAAGGAAUAGACACAUGAAAAGCAAAAUUAAGUCAGCCAUGUGAAAAGGAAGUUAAAUAAGCAGUAAUUAUUGGUAUCAUAGUUUGGUAAACACCAUUACAGAUAUUACAGAGAUAAUAGGGUGAAAGAAAAAAAAUUAUUUAAUAGACAUAACUACUUUUAAUUAAGAUAACCAUAGGAAUCAGGAAGAGUAUGAUCAUGAUUAAUAAUACUGGAGUCAGUGAUUGAAUCUGAUAUUACCUUGUUGUGGGAGAGUGAUAUAGGAAGUGUAUGUUCAUUAGUAAUAAAGAAGGGAGAAAAUUAAUUGUUAUCUCAGUUGCCAUAUUGGGUGGAUUUUAAGAGAACACAAUAUUAAUCAAACUUUAUGUUGUUCAUUUGAUAUAUAAAGGGUGGUUCAUUAAUUAAAAAAUUAUACAUGAUGAUAUUUACAUUAAAUGAUGAUAUAUGUACAAAAACAUAUAGGAAGAUAUAUUUUUUGUGAGGAGAACUGUAUGAAAUAUAGUGAGUUAUAUUGUAAAAGAAAUGUUAAGAAUGAUAAAAUUGACCCUGUGGAUAAAAUGUUGAAGCCUACAUUAUGUGAUUUGCAGGCAUAGUAAACUAUUCAUUGACUACGUUAUCUCAUAAAUCAGUGGCUCACAACUGGGGGGGGGUGUGGACACUUUCUUAGGGGAGGGUGCAAGCACAGGACUGGGGGGGGGAGGUGAAAUCACAGAAAAUCAUGGACUCACUGGCUAUCAGGGCUGGUAAUUGUGGGGCCCAAUUAGAAAACUGAUGGCAGGGCACCCCACUCUACAAAAGUUAAUAUUUAUGUAUGUUUAUAUUUUGUGAGGAAUAAUAAUUUCUCAUUCUUCAUUUCGUGUUUUCAGUUGUGGUUUAUUCCUCUUAAAGUACAGAAAAGGCUUCAAGCGAGGCCUUAAGGUGUGGGGCCCAAUUUGAUAAAACUGGUCAAAUUUUGGUCAAAUCAAAUCAAAUUGGUCAAAUCAAACUGGCCCUGCUGGCUAUUAAUACAAAGGAAAUGCAGCUAAGUAUCUGUCUAUCUAUAUAUCUAUCUAUCUAUCUAUGGUGGCAUAGUUGGGGAGGGGGUUGAUUGGUUGGCACAGGGAGGAGGGGGGGCCCCAACUACAUUGAACCAACUCUGGGGGCCCCAGCUUGCAAAUGGUUGAGAACCCCUGUCAUAAAUGAAAGUGGCAUGAAAUUGAUAAAUGUUACCAACAGAGGUAGUUAGUCUAAAGCUGUUUAAUUAAGGAAAUAUUUUAAAGGGAGACAAUUAUAAUAUGGAGGAUACUGUAGCUUACUGGUGAUAGGUUGCCAAGUCAGGUAACACUGUUGGAGCAGUGCUGGUAAACACAACUAAAAGAUGGUCACAACACUCAUCCAAUGAAGAAGUACAAGUGUUAUAUUGCUUUUUUUUUUUUUUGUGUAGGAGGGACACCAAUCAAGGACAACAAAAAUCCAAUAAAAAUAAAAAAACCCACUGAGAUGUUGGUCCCCAAACAGGGUCCAAAGCAGUAGUAAAAAAUUGAAGGAUAGGUGUCUUGAAACCUCCUUCUUGAAGGAGUUCAAGUCAUAGGAAGGUGAAAAUACAGAAGCAGGCAGGGAAUUCCAGAGUUUACCAGAGAAAGGGAUGAAUGAUUGAGGAUACUGGCUAACUCUUGCAUUAGAGAGGUGGACAGAAUAGGGGUGAGAGAAAGAAGUCUUGUGCAGCAAGGCUGCAGGAAGAAGGGAGGCAUGCAGUUAGCAAGAUCAGAAGAGCAGUUAGCAUGAAAAUAACGGUAGAAGAUAACAAGAGAUGCAACAUUGUGGUGAUGAGAAAUAAGCUGAAGAGAAUCAGCUAGAGGAGAGGAGUUGAGACAAAAAGCUUUUGAUUCCACCCUGUCUAGAAGAGCGGUAUGAAUGGAACCUGCCCAGACAUGUGAAGCAUACUCUAUGAUUGGACAGAUAAGGCCCUUGUACAGAGCUAGCAGCUGGAAGGGUGAGAAAAACUGGUGGAGACAUCUCAGAACACCUAACUUCAUAGAAGAUAUUUUAAUUAGAGAUGAGUUGUGAAGUUUCUGGUUUAGAUUAUAAGUAAGGGACAGACUGGGAUGUUCAGCAUAGAAGAGGGGGACAGUUGAGUGUCAUUGAAGAAGAGGGCAUAGUUGUUUGGAAGGUUGUGUCAAGUUGCUAGAUGGAGGAAUUAAGUUUUUGAGGCAUUGAAUAAUACUAAGUUUGCUCUGCCCCUAUCAGAAAUUUAAGAGAGAUCAGAAGUCAGGCAUUCUAUGGCUUCCCUGCAUGAACUAUUUACUUCCUGAAGGGUUGGACAUUUACAAAAAGGUGUGGAAAAGUGCAGGGUGGUAUCGUCAACAUAGGAGUGGGUAGGGCAAGAAGUUUGGUCUAGAAGAUCAUUGAUAAGUAAUAGGAAGAGAGUGGGUGACAGAACAGAACCGUGAGGAACACCACUGUUAUUAGAUUUAGGAGAACAGUGGCCAUCUACCAAAGUAGCAAUAGAAUGGUCAGAAAGGAAACGAGUUAAGGUUACAAAGAGGUUAGGAGCUGUAGGAGGGUAGUUUGGAAAUCAAAGCUAUAUGCCAGACUCUAUCAAAAGCUUUUGAUAUGUCUAAGGCAACAGUUAAAGUUUAACUAAAAUCUCUAAAUGAAGAUGGCCAAGAUUUGGUAAGGAAAGCCAGAUCACCAGUACAGCAGCCUUGACAGAACCCAUACUGGCAAUCAGAUAGAAGGUUGUGAAGUGAUACAUGUUUAAGAAUCUUCCUGUUGAAGAUAGAUUGUAAAACUUUAGAUAGGCAGGAAAUUAAAGCAAUAGAACAGUAAUUUGAGGGAUUGGAACAGUCACCCUUUUAAGGAACAGGCUGAAAGUAGGCAAACUUCCAACAAGAAGGAAAGGUAGAUGUUGACAGGCAUAGUUGUAAGAGUUUGACGUGGCAAGUGCAAGCAUGGAGGCGCAGUUUUGGAAAACAAUAGGAGGGACCCCAUCAGGUCCACAAUCCUUCCAAGGGUUUAGGCCAGCAAGGGCAUGGAAAACAGCAUUGUAAAAAAUUUUAGUAGAAAGCAUGAAGUAGUCAGAGGAUGGAGGAGAGAGAGGAACAAGCCCUGAAUCAUCCAAGGUAGAGCUUUUAGCAAAGGUAUAAGCUAAGAGUUCAGCUUUAGAGAUAGAUGUGAUAGCAGUGCUGCCAUCUGGUUGAAAUAAAGGAGGGAAAGAAGAAGAAGCAAAGUUAUUGGAGAUGUUUUUGGCUAGGUGCUAGAAGUCACAAGGGGAGUUAGAUCUUGAAAGAUUUUGAUAUUUUAUAUUAAUGAGAGCUUUUUUUUGACUAGUUGGAGAACAGACUUGGCAUGGUUCUGGGCAGAAAUGUAAAGUGCAUGAGAUUCUGUUGAGGUAGGAUUAUGAAAAUGAUGCUGAAAAUGGCAAGUAAAUGAGAAUAUACAUAAUAAUUGCUACAGUUUACUAGUGAAAGGAGAUAUAUUAAGGAGUGUGAUGAAGAUGAAGAUGAUGAAAAUUCAAUAUAUAGUAUAUAGUGUUAAGGAUAAAAAUUUGUGGAUAGAGCUGAAGGAAUGUAGGGCAUAGAGAAGUAUUUGGGAUGAGAUGAAGGAAAUACAGAGCAUAGAUAAUCAUGAAUAUAUGAGAAAAGAUGAAAGAAGUAUAGAGCAUAUAGAAAUUAUGAAUGAAAGGGAAGAGAUGAGAGAAAUGUAAAGUGGACGUAGCUGGGUGUGAUAAUGAAAAUAUAUUUCACGAUAACCAAUAAAUUGAUAAUGAUAGCCAUAUUGGCAAUAACCGAUAAUCGAUAACUGGCAAUAAAUUUAUCACCCAAUAACCGAUAAAUUGAUAAAUCUAAAAUUCUGAUAAUAAUGAUAACAAUAUUGAUAUUUUAAAUAAAAAAAGUUAGUAAAUCUAAAUCUUCAUUAUUAUCUCUAUCUUAGAAAACUUAGAAAAAUCUUAGAAAAAAAAUUCAAAUUGAACAUUUAUCCUGUCUCUUCCCUAAUGAGAAGUAAUGUUUUAAGUAAAAUGACUACAUAUGAUUUUGAAAGUUUAAAACUUCAAUAUGCUCAUG